rnacentral:rRNA from 2 species
AUCAACUUUCGAUGGUAGGAUAGAGGCCUACCAUGGUGGUAACGGGUAACGGGGUGUUAGGGCACGACACCGGAGAGGGAGCCUGAGAAACGGCUACCACAUCCAAGGAUGGCAGCAGGCGCGCAAAUUACCCAAUCCCGACACGGGGAGGUAGUGACAAUAAAUAACAAUACAGGGUUCUUUCGGAUCUUGUAAUUGGAAUGAGUACAAUUUAAAUCUCUUAACGAGGAACAAUUGGAGGGCAAGUCUGGUGCCAGCAGCCGCGGUAAUUCCAGCUCCAAUAGCGUAUAUUAAAGUUGCUGCAGUUAAAAAGCUCGUAGUUGAAUUUCGGGACCAAUAUGUCGGUCGUGCUUUUGUACGUACUGGCAUAAUUGGUUUCUCCCUUCUGAAGAACCUUGAUGUCAUUAAUUUGGUGUCUUGGGGAAUCAGGACUGUUACUUUGAAAAAAUUAGAGUGUUUAAAGCAGGCUCGCGCUUGAAUACAUUAGCAUGGAAUAAUGAAAUAGGACGUUUGAUUCUAUUUUGUUGGUUUCUAGGAUCGACGUAAUGAUUAAUAGGGAUAGUUGGGGGCAUUAGUAUUCAAUUGUCAGAGGUGAAAUUCUUGGAUUUAUUGAAGACUAACUACUGCGAAAGCAUUUGCCAAGGAUGUUUUCAUUAAUCAAGAACGAAAGUUAGGGGAUCGAAGACGAUCAGAUACCGUCGUAGUCUUAACCAUAAACUAUGCCGACUAGGGAUCGGAUGAUGUUAAUUUUUUAAUGACUCAUUCGGCGCCUUACGGGAAACCAAAGUGUUUGGGUUC